ensembl:lncRNA
ACGCUAUGGACUGUAGCCCAUUAGGUUCCUCUGUCCAUGGAAUGUUCCACGCAAGAAUACUGGAAUGGGUUGCCAUUCCCUUCUCCAGGGGAUCUUCCUGACCCAGGGAUUGAACCCAUGACUCCUGCAUCUCCUGCGUUGACAGGCAGAUUCUUUGCUGCGAGUUCCCUGGGAACCCCAGGCAUGGCUCCUAGAGCCAUUGAAAAUAAUUGAAAUAGAGUUGUCAAAAAGGCAGGAAGGGAACCAGUAGGAACAGCUGACACAGAUAUCUGAUUCCUUCCUGUGACAGGUGUAUCCUAUGAGCCCAGCUUGAACAAGUUGCAGGAACCUGGGCUGGGCUCCAAGGCAGGAUGUUUCUUACAUGAGGGACCAGAGUUCUCUGUAGGGAAUCACUGGGUAAUUAGUACAAGCAGUGUUCCGAUGGUGUGCGAGGAGUAAAAAUUAAUAAACAGAGACUUCAAUUAAAAUAGAGUCAGGAGGCCAGAAGGGGAAGCUCUCAUACUCCAUGCUGCUGCUGUUGCUAAGUCGCUUCAGUCGUGUCCGACUCUGUUGGACCCCAUAGACGGCAGCCCACCAGGCUCCCCCAUCCCUGAGAUUCUUCAAGUAAGAACACUGGAGUGGGCUGCCAUUUCCUUCCCCAACCUCAUACUCUAUGAGGAUAGUGGAACUCAACGGGAAGGAAAACCACGUCCCCUUGUUGCCUGGCAAGAGCUCAACCAAUGAGAGACUCUCACAAUUCAGCCAAUGAGAAGCCCCUAUACUUCGAACUCUCAACUCUUCAGUGGACUCUUGUUUCUCAUAAACCUGGCAACUUUCUUUACCUCUCUUCAAAAGAGUUCUUUCUUUGUUGUGGUGGCUCACCAUGGUUACAGACCCCAAAUUUCAAAUCCUUGUUGAUUCCAAUUAAGCCCAUUUUUGCUGGAGAAAUAACUGGUAAUCUGUGUUAGUUAAACAUUUUGGCGGUCCACAUGGGGAUCCAGAGAAGGCUCCUGUUGACUUCCAGGCUGGUAAGCAAACAGAGAAUUCCUGAGUAACAACUUUCAGAGAUAAAUCAACUCACUGCAGUGGCAUCCUAUCCAUGGACUAGUGACCCAGGCCACCUACAAACCUAUUCUUAUACUAGCAGCCGCUUCAAGGAUGUAGCCUUGAGAGAAUAAUGUGGUUUUGAAACUCUCUGCACGGUAUACAUGACUGAACCUACUGAGGCCUCUAUAUGAACUUGUAAGGUUCUGGUGGGCAGGUAUGAAGAUUUACUUGGAGCCAUCAAAGGCAAGCCUCCUAAGGCCAUCAGCAGAGUUCAGCUUCUUAGUCAUCAAGUUGCCCCUUCUGGAUCUGUCAGUACCCUGAAGAGAACGUGCCUGUGCCCAGUUGCAUCUGACUCUGUGCAACCUCAUGGACUAUAGCCCACCAGGCUCCUCUGGCUAUGGGAUUCUCCAGGCAAGAAUGCUGGAGUGGGAUCUUCCUGACCCAGGGGCUGAACCCACAUCUCCUUCGUCUCCUGCACUGCAGGCAGUCUUGACUCACUGAAUGACUCAGAAACCUGGCCCCAAAGAUGUUGUGACGGGGACACCCGGCUGGUCCUGAGAAGGCACCGUGCUCAGACAAGCAUGUGAGAUUGCAUUUGUCCUUGGGGUUGAGCCCUAAGCUUCAGAGCAUCUACCAUGUUUUGACAGUUGUGGGAGAUGCAUGGCAAGAAGGGUUUCGGUCAGAUAUGCUUGUCUAUGGAGUGAUAAUCUGAUUUCAUCAGUGGGUUGAUGCUUUGUCAACAGAGGAAUGUCGGGAGGAUCUAUUACAGAAUGGACAGCCAAGAUGAGCCUGCCGGGUUCCUCGGUCCAUGAGACUUCCCUGGCAAGAAUAUUGGAGUGGUUUGCCAUUUCCUUCUCCGGGGGAUCUUCCUGACCCAGGGAUCGAACCUGUGUCUCCUGCAUUGGCAGCCGCCACCACCUUCCUCUCUCCUCUCCUUCCAUCUUGGCAUCUUGGCUUUGUCCCUUCUGAACUCUUCCUCUUUCAUCCUGCCAGUCUUCAGGUUCAUUGCUAUGGGAUCUGUCCAACAACAGCAUGCCUGGAAAUACUGAAUAUUGCAUUCUGCUCUCCAAAGGAAUGUUGGUCGGAAAACAUGAUUUAAACCCAAAUAUCAGAUUUAAACAUUGCCUUCUUUGAAAAAGGAAUGAAGGUGAAAUACACUACUUUAAUUCUGACACAGCAAAAAGGGAAUGUUCCAUUAACAAAUCAUAAUUAACUUUGAACUUGAGUGAAAACAAAGACAUCAAUAUGCCCAGUUUCUCAGACUGUAAUGUAUGUACAUAUAUUAGAUCACAUAUGCUUAUUACCUUAAAGUAUGGGUAACAUACUUUAAGUAGAAGUAUCUUUUCCAAGUAGAAAUAUGCUGCUAUAAAUGUGAUUUUAAUGAGAUUUAUUUUUAAUUGAUUUAUACUUCCAUGAUUUUGCAUGCUGACUUUAAGAAACUAUGAUAGUAUAUUUCAAAGUUGUGGGCCAUAGUCUGUAUUAUACCAAGACUAAUCUUUUGUUCAUUUAUAUAUUCAUUCAUUCUUUCAUUGACCACUUACUAAGCAAUCACUGGAUGUUGGGCAUUGUGCUGGGUGCUGAGCUAGCGCAAUGCUUGGGUUCAGGUCUCAGGAUUGAAAGCAGGAAUGUGAGAGGUGCACUGGAGUGAUCAUACGCUUUGGAACUGGGUUGACUAGGUUCAAGAACUGCUUAAGCUAGUUAGCUGAGCUGUUUGGAAUAAGACACUUCACCUCUGUGGGUCUUAGUUUUGUUACCUGGAAAAGAGGUCAGCAAACCUAUCCUGCAGAAUACAUGGAGUUUUAUGCAAAACUUUAGGUAAAAUGGUUGGUACUGUGUAUGUCAUAUGGAUCCUGGAAACAUCAUAGUUAAUCUUAUUAUUAUGGUAGUAUUUAAGUAAUUUAAGUAAGCAACUUGAAAUAUCAGUGAAUGGAUGGCAUUUUUAAUGGCUCAAAUUGAGUAGAACAGGUCUUAAUAAAGUAGUUUUAUUUGCAUGUGUGUGAGCACGGCACAAUCAAAGUAAGUUUUAAUGGACUUAGCCAUGUUAUCAGAAUAUAAGGACUAGUGCAUCUGAAAACCCUGAGGUGUAAUCUGGAAUUAGUAUUCAGAAGAACAUCCUUAAAAGUAAGACAGUUUUUAGUCUAGGAACUAUCAGACCAGGCUCUAAACAUAAAAUGCCACAGUAUCUCUUUCAUUGUACAUGAUCCACAUUUUUAUUUCUAUUUAAAAUAUCCCCACAUCCUCUCUCUAUAUAUUUGAUUAUGAGAAGAUACAAGCUGUUACAUAGUCCUAUAACAGCAAAAGGAGAGGUAAAAUAUAGAGCACAUCGAUGCUUUGCUUUUCCAUGGAAAUACUAGCCUUUUAUAGUAAUUUAAUCAGAUAAUUUCAGUUUAUGUUACUUUGUGUUCCCUCCUGUUUACUUUUCUAAUAACUACAAUUAUUCUCAGAACUGACAUUACAUUUCUCCCCUAGAAUAGAUGUGCCGAAAUUGAAAAAAUCCAAUUGAAUAAGAGAAUGUAACGAGAAAAUGUAAUCCAUUGUUAUUAAAAAAGGCAGCUUACCUUUAUCUGGGUGUUAAACAGUACAAAUCCACGAGAGCCAGUGAAUGUUUUGAAGUCAAAACGAAGGGCAUUACCAAGGCUGAAGUGGAUUUGUCACAGAAUUAUAUGUAUUACCUCGGAAAUAGGUUAUUAUAUCUAGGAGGGGCAGGGGGAAAUAUGAAGGAAUGAGAGAAAGACCAUUUUUAUUUUCUUCAUAUAUUUUCACCUGGGUGAAAUUGUUCUGAUGUAGAUUUUUAUGCAGAAUUUAUUUAAGCUAAAGAAAAUCCAGAACAGUUUAAAAGAUCUUUGCACCUAGUUUAUUAAAUAGGAUAUGUUGUCUAGAAGAAAGCUUCAGAUGAAGAUGUCUUUGACUAUUAAGAGCUCUCAUAAUAGCAAUGUGAAGAAUACCAGCAAAGACACCCGUUACGAUGGAGGAUGGCAUCUGUUUUGACUGGUAACCCAUACACUUAGCCCACAGGAUUCACGUUCAGUUUAGUGCUGUUGGGUGUCUUUAAAGUAUUUUUGAGCCAUGCCUUUCUUGUUCAAAGAUGUGACCACUUAUAUGUAAUUUAAAAGUUUUUCACAGUGGUAGCAACAAAUCAACAUUAUUUUAAGCAUGAAUUUGUAAAUAAAGCCUUAAAAUGUACAGUU